rnacentral:rRNA from 2 species
UGCAGUCGAACGAUGAAGCCCAGCUUGCUGGGUGGAUUAGUGGCGAACGGGUGAGUAACACGUGAGCAACCUGCCCCUGACUCUGGGAUAACAGCCGGAAACGGUUGCUAAUACCGGAUAUGCAUCAUGGCCGCAUGGUCUGUGAUGGGAAAGAUUUUUCGGUUGGGGAUGGGCUCGCGGCCUAUCAGCUUGUUGGUGAGGUAGUGGCUCACCAAGGCGUCGACGGGUAGCCGGCCUGAGAGGGUGACCGGCCACACUGGGACUGAGACACGGCCCAGACUCCUACGGGAGGCAGCAGUGGGGAAUAUUGCACAAUGGGCGGAAGCCUGAUGCAGCAACGCCGCGUGAGGGACGACGGCCUUCGGGUUGUAAACCUCUUUUAGCAGGGAAGAAGCGAAAGUGACGGUACCUGCAGAAAAAGCGCCGGCUAACUACGUGCCAGCAGCCGCGGUAAUACGUAGGGCGCAAGCGUUAUCCGGAAUUAUUGGGCGUAAAGAGCUCGUAGGCGGUUUGUCGCGUCUGCUGUGAAAACCCGAGGCUCAACCUCGGGCCUGCAGUGGGUACGGGCAGACUAGAGUGCGGUAGGGGAGAUUGGAAUUCCUGGUGUAGCGGUGGAAUGCGCAGAUAUCAGGAGGAACACCGAUGGCGAAGGCAGAUCUCUGGGCCGUUACUGACGCUGAGGAGCGAAAGGGUGGGGAGCAAACAGGCUUAGAUACCCUGGUAGU